UACGUAGGGCGCAAGCGUUGUCCGGAAUUAUUGGGCGUAAAGAGCUCGUAGGCGGCUUGUCACGUCGGAUGUGAAAGCCCGGGGCUUAACUCCGGGUCUGCAUUCGAUACGGGCUAGCUAGAGUGUGGUAGGGGAGAUCGGAAUUCCUGGUGUAGCGGUGAAAUGCGCAGAUAUCAGGAGGAACACCGGUGGCGAAGGCGGAUCUCUGGGCCUGUGCUGACGCUGAGGAGCGAAAGCGUGGGGAGCGAACAGG
rnacentral:rRNA from 1 species